AUGAUGGUGGCUGGUCUAACAAAAGAAAAGAAGAGAAAAGAAACAAGAAAAGGCCCUAUUCUACCAAAAAUCCAGCAAAUUGCCAGCCACUUUAGGGUGACAAAGGAGAUCUUGGAUCGAGGAAGGGAAAAGAGGAGACAUCGAGAUUCGUACCUCAUCUCCAAUGAGAAAUUGGUGGUGAUUUGUUGAGAAAUACUUGAUGAAAGCCAAGAGAGAUCAAUGAUCUCGUCAACGAUUGAUUGGUGUUUCAAACACUAUGUAUAUGGGGA
rnacentral:lncRNA from 1 species